rnacentral:tRNA from 2 species
GGCGCGUUGGCAGAAGGGUUAUGCAACGGAUUGCAAAUCCGUUAAUCUCAGUUCAAGUCUGAGACGUGCCU